rnacentral:rRNA from 1 species
AUUGAACGCUGGCGGCAGGCCUAACACAUGCAAGUCGAGCGGAUGAAGGGAGCUUGCUCCUGGAUUCAGCGGCGGACGGGUGAGUAAUGCCUAGGAAUCUGCCUGGUAGUGGGGGAUAACGUCCGGAAACGGGCGCUAAUACCGCAUACGUCCUGAGGGAGAAAGUGGGGGAUCUUCGGACCUCACGCUAUCAGAUGAGCCUAGGUCGGAUUAGCGAGUUGGUGGGGUAAAGGCCCACCAAGGCGACGAUCCGUAACUGGUCUGAGAGGAUGAUCAGUCACACUGGAACUGAGACACGGUCCAGACUCCUACGGGAGGCAGCAGUGGGGAAUAUUGGACAAUGGGCGAAAGCCUGAUCCAGCCAUGCCGCGUGUGUGAAGAAGGUCUUCGGAUUGUAAAGCACUUUAAGUUGGGAGGAAGGGCAGUAAGUUAAUACCUUGCUGUUUUGACGUUACCAACAGAAUAAGCACCGGCUAACUUCGUG